rnacentral:rRNA from 1 species
AGAGUUUGAUCCUGGCUCAGGACGAACGCUGGCGGCGCGCCUAACACAUGCAAGUCGAACGAGCGAGAGAGAGCUUGCUUUCUCGAGCGAGUGGCGAACGGGUGAGUAACGCGUGAGGAACCUGCCUCAAAGAGGGGGACAACAGUUGGAAACGACUGCUAAUACCGCAUAAGCCCACGACCCGGCAUCGGGUUGAGGGAAAAGGAGCAAUCCGCUUUGAGAUGGCCUCGCGUCCGAUUAGCUAGUUGGUGAGGUAAUGGCCCACCAAGGCGACGAUCGGUAGCCGGACUGAGAGGUUGAACGGCCACAUUGGGACUGAGACACGGCCCAGACUCCUACGGGAGGCAGCAGUGGGGAAUAUUGCACAAUGGGGGAAACCCUGAUGCAGCGACGCCGCGUGGAGGAAGAAGGUCUUCGGAUUGUAAACUCCUGUUGUUGAGGAAGAUAAUGACGGUACUCAACAAGGAAGUGACGGCUAACUACGUGCCAGCAGCCGCGGUAAAACGUAGGUCACAAGCGUUGUCCGGAAUUACUGGGUGUAAAGGGAGCGCACGCGGGAAGACAAGUUGGAAGUGAAAUCUAUGGGCUCAACCCAUAAACUGCUUUCAAAACUGUUUUUCUUGAGUAGUGCAGAGGUAUGCGGAAUCCCCGUGUAGCGGUGGAAUGCGUAGAUAUCGGGAGGAACACCAGUGGCGAAGGCCGGCUACUGGGCACCAACUGACGCUGAGGCUCGAAAGUGUGGGUAGCAAACAGGAUUAGAUACGCUGGUAGUCCACACCGUAAACGAUGAUUACUAGGUGUUGGAGGAUUGACCCCUUCAGUGCCGCAGUUAACACAAUAAGUAAUCCACCUGGGGAGUACGACCGCAAGGUUGAAACUCAAAGGGAUUGACGGGGGCCCGCACAAGCAGUGGAGUAUGUGGUUUAAUUCGACGCAACGCGAAGAACCUUACCAAGUCUUGACAUCCCUUGACGAACAUAGAAAUAUGUUUUCUCUUCGGAGCAAGGAGACAGGUGGUGCAUGGUUGUCGUCAGCUCGUGUCGUGAGAUGUUGGGUUAAGUCCCGCAACGAGCGCAACCCUUACUGUCAGUUACUACGCAAGAGGACUCUGGCAGGACUGCCGUUGACAAAACGGAGGAGGGUGGGGAUGACGUCAAAUCAUCAUGCCCUUUAUGACUUGGGCUACACGCGUACUGCAAUGGCGUUAAACAAAGAGAAGCAAGACCGCGAGGUGGAGCAAAACUCAGAAACAACGUCCCAGUUCGGACUGCAGGCUGCAACUCGCCUGGACGAAGUCGGAAUUGCUAGUAAUCGUGGAUCAGCAUGCCACGGUGAAUACGUUCCCGGGCCUAUUGUACACAGGGCCCGUC